GGGGCAGCUUUGCCGUUGGAAGCUGAAAAGGGAAAAAUUCUACUGAGCAAUGGUGGAUGCAAUGCCUCAACAGACAAGUUUCGGGCUUCCCUAAGACUCAACUUCUGCAAUCAAAAUCAGAAUAGGCCCUCAGAUAAUUCCCCUUGCAAAGUGUGCCCUAUGCAAUGGCAGCUCCACAGGGACAAGUGCUACUGGCCAUCAGAAAUUAUUAAAAGCUGGAAUGAGAGCCAACAUGACUGUUCAACAAGGGAUUCUCAACUGCUGGUCAUCCAAGACAAGGAGGAGAUGGAUUUCAUAAAAAACAUUACAAAAAAUGCAAUACACUGGAUUGGGCUCUCACUAUUAAAAUUGGAGAAGAAAUGGAUGUGGAUUACAGGCUCCCAGCUUGAUCAGAGUCUAUUUCCAGAACCAAACUAUGCUGAAGGAAACUCUUGUGCUACAAUAAAAUAUAAAGUCACCUCUGAACCUUGCAGUGCUAUAUAUCGGUGGAUUUGCCAGAAAGACCCUCUCCUACUCUGAUAUUUUAGUUUGAUAAAUGCAAUAAUUAUGUGGGUUUUUGUUAUUUGCCAGGAACACACAAUAAAAAUGUCAUUGAGUGGCUGAGA